rnacentral:rRNA from 1 species
CGGCCGCGUCGACCGCACAAGCGUGGAGCGAUGUGGUUAAUUCGAAGCAACGCGAAGAACCUUACCAGGUCUUGACAUCCCGAUGCUAUUCUAGAGAUAGAAAGUUACUUCGGUACAUCGGUGACAGGUCGGUGCAUGGUUGUCGUCAGCUCGUGUCGUGAGAUGUUGGGUUAAGUCCCGCAACGAGCGCAACCCCUAUUGUUAGUUGCCAUCAUUCAGUUGGGCACUCUAGCGAGACUGCCGGUAAUAAACCGGAGGAAGGUGGGGAUGACGUCAAGUCAGCAUGCCCCUUACGUCCUGGGCUACACACGUACUACAAUGGUAGGGACAGAGGGCAGCCAACCCGCGAGGGCGAGCUAAUCCCGUAAACCCUGCCUCAGUUCAGAUUGCAGGCUGCAACUCGCCUGCAUGAAGGCGGAAUCGCUAGUAAUCGCAGGUCAGCAUACUGCGGUGAAUCCGUUCC